GGGUUGUGAGGUUAAGCGACUAAGCGUACACGGUGGAUGCCCUGGCAGUCAGAGGCGAUGAAGGACGUGCUAAUCUGCGAUAAGCGUCGGUAAGGUGAUAUGAACCGUUAUAACCGGCGAUUUCCGAAUGGGGAAACCCAGUGUGUUUCGACACACUAUCAUUAACUGAAUCCAUAGGUUAAUGAGGCGAACCGGGGGAACUGAAACAUCUAAGUACCCCGAGGAAAAGAAAUCAACCGAGAUUCCCCCAGUAGCGGCGAGCGAACGGGGAGCAGCCCAGAGCCUGAAUCAGUGUGUGUGUUAGUGGAAGCGUCUGGAAAGGCGCGCGAUACAGGGUGACAGCCCCGUACACAAAAAUGCACAUGCUGUGAGCUCGAUGAGUAGGGCGGGACACGUGGUAUCCUGUCUGAAUAUGGGGGGACCAUCCUCCAAGGCUAAAUACUCCUGACUGACCGAUAGUGAACCAGUACCGUGAGGGAAAGGCGAAAAGAACCCCGGCGAGGGGAGUGAAAAAGAACCUGAAACCGUGUACGUACAAGCAGUGGGAGCACGCUUAGGCGUGUGACUGCGUACCUUUUGUAUAAUGGGUCAGCGACUUAUAUUCUGUAGCAAGGUUAACCGAAUAGGGGAGCCGAAGGGAAACCGAGUCUUAACUGGGCGUUAAGUUGCAGGGUAUAGACCCGAAACCCGGUGAUCUAGCCAUGGGCAGGUUGAAGGUUGGGUAACACUAACUGGAGGACCGAACCGACUAAUGUUGAAAAAUUAGCGGAUGACUUGUGGCUGGGGGUGAAAGGCCAAUCAAACCGGGAGAUAGCUGGUUCUCCCCGAAAGCUAUUUAGGUAGCGCCUCGUGAAUUCAUCUCCGGGGGUAGAGCACUGUUUCGGCAAGGGGGUCAUCCCGACUUACCAACCCGAUGCAAACUGCGAAUACCGGAGAAUGUUAUCACGGGAGACACACGGCGGGUGCUAACGUCCGUCGUGAAGAGGGAAACAACCCAGACCGCCAGCUAAGGUCCCAAAGUCAUGGUUAAGUGGGAAACGAUGUGGGAAGGCCCAGACAGCCAGGAUGUUGGCUUAGAAGCAGCCAUCAUUUAAAGAAAGCGUAAUAGCUCACUGGUCGAGUCGGCCUGCGCGGAAGAUGUAACGGGGCUAAACCAUGCACCGAAGCUGCGGCAGCGACGCUGAUGCGUUGUUGGGUAGGGGAGCGUUCUGUAAGCCUGUGAAGGUGUACUGUGAGGUAUGCUGGAGGUAUCAGAAGUGCGAAUGCUGACAUAAGUAACGAUAAAGCGGGUGAAAAGCCCGCUCGCCGGAAGACCAAGGGUUCCUGUCCAACGUUAAUCGGGGCAGGGUGAGUCGACCCCUAAGGCGAGGCCGAAAGGCGUAGUCGAUGGGAAACAGGUUAAUAUUCCUGUACUUGGUGUUACUGCGAAGGGGGGACGGAGAAGGCUAUGUUGGCCGGGCGACGGUUGUCCCGGUUUAAGCGUGUAGGCUGGUUUUCCAGGCAAAUCCGGAAAAUCAAGGCUGAGGCGUGAUGACGAGGCACUACGGUGCUGAAGCAACAAAUGCCCUGCUUCCAGGAAAAGCCUCUAAGCAUCAGGUAACAUCAAAUCGUACCCCAAACCGACACAGGUGGUCAGGUAGAGAAUACCAAGGCGCUUGAGAGAACUCGGGUGAAGGAACUAGGCAAAAUGGUGCCGUAACUUCGGGAGAAGGCACGCUGAUAUGUAGGUGAAGCGACUUGCUCGUGGAGCUGAAAUCAGUCGAAGAUACCAGCUGGCUGCAACUGUUUAUUAAAAACACAGCACUGUGCAAACACGAAAGUGGACGUAUACGGUGUGACGCCUGCCCGGUGCCGGAAGGUUAAUUGAUGGGGUUAGCGCAAGCGAAGCUCUUGAUCGAAGCCCCGGUAAACGGCGGCCGUAACUAUAACGGUCCUAAGGUAGCGAAAUUCCUUGUCGGGUAAGUUCCGACCUGCACGAAUGGCGUAAUGAUGGCCAGGCUGUCUCCACCCGAGACUCAGUGAAAUUGAACUCGCUGUGAAGAUGCAGUGUACCCGCGGCAAGACGGAAAGACCCCGUGAACCUUUACUAUAGCUUGACACUGAACAUUGAGCCUUGAUGUGUAGGAUAGGUGGGAGGCUUAGAAGUGUGGACGCCAGUCUGCAUGGAGCCGACCUUGAAAUACCACCCUUUAAUGUUUGAUGUUCUAACGUUGACCCGUAAUCCGGGUUGCGGACAGUGUCUGGUGGGUAGUUUGACUGGGGCGGUCUCCUCCUAAAGAGUAACGGAGGAGCACGAAGGUUGGCUAAUCCUGGUCGGACAUCAGGAGGUUAGUGCAAUGGCAUAAGCCAGCUUGACUGCGAGCGUGACGGCGCGAGCAGGUGCGAAAGCAGGUCAUAGUGAUCCGGUGGUUCUGAAUGGAAGGGCCAUCGCUCAACGGAUAAAAGGUACUCCGGGGAUAACAGGCUGAUACCGCCCAAGAGUUCAUAUCGACGGCGGUGUUUGGCACCUCGAUGUCGGCUCAUCACAUCCUGGGGCUGAAGUAGGUCCCAAGGGUAUGGCUGUUCGCCAUUUAAAGUGGUACGCGAGCUGGGUUUAGAACGUCGUGAGACAGUUCGGUCCCUAUCUGCCGUGGGCGCUGGAGAACUGAGGGGGGCUGCUCCUAGUACGAGAGGACCGGAGUGGACGCAUCACUGGUGUUCGGGUUGUCAUGCCAAUGGCACUGCCCGGUAGCUAAAUGCGGAAGAGAUAAGUGCUGAAAGCAUCUAAGCACGAAACUUGCCCCGAGAUGAGUUCUCCCUGACUCCUUGAGAGUCCUGAAGGAACGUUGAAGACGACGACGUUGAUAGGCCGGGUGUGUAAGCGCAGCGAUGCGUUGAGCUAACCGGUACUAAUGAACCGUGAGGCUUAACCUUACAACGCCGAAGGUGUUU
rnacentral:rRNA from 1 species